GUGCCAGCAGCCGCGGUAAUACGGGGGGGACAAGCGUUGUUCGGAUUCACUGGGCGUAAAGGGCGCGUAGGUGGGCUUUCAAGUCGGAUGUGAAACCUGCCGGCUCAACCGGCAGCCUGCAUCUGAUACUGUUGGUCUUGAGUACGGAAGAGGAGAGCGGAAUUCCAGGUGUAGCGGUGAAAUGCGUAGAUAUCUGGAAGAACACCGGUAGCGAAGGCGGCUCUCUGGUCCGAUACUGACGCUCAAGCGCGAAGGCUAGGGGAGCAAACAGGAUUAGAUACCCUGGUAGUCCACGCCCUAAACGAUGUCAACUAGUUGUUGGAGGAGUGAAAUCCUUUAGUAACGAAGCUAACGCGUGAAGUUGACCGCCUGGGGAGUACGGUCGCAAGAUUAAAACUCAAAGGAAUUGACGGGGACCCGCACAAGCGGUGGAUGAUGUGGAUUAAUUCGAUGCAACGCGAAGAACCUUACCUACCCUUGACAUGUCCGGAACUUGCCAGAGAUGGCUUGGUGCCCGAAAGGGAACCGGAACACAGGUGCUGCAUGGCUGUCGUCAGCUCGUGUCGUGAGAUGUUGGGUUAAGUCCCGCAACGAGCGCAACCCUUAUCAUUAGUUGCUACGCAAGGGCACUCUAAUGAGACUGCCGGUGACAAACCGGAGGAAGGUGGGGAUGACGUCAAGUCCUCAUGGCCCUUAUGGGUAGGGCUUCACACGUCAUACAAUGGUCGGUACAGAGGGUUGCCAAGCCGCGAGGUGGAGCCAAUCCCACAAAGCCGAUCGUAGUCCGGAUUGUUCUCUGCAACUCGAGAGCAUGAAGUCGGAAUCGCUAGUAAUCGCAGGUCAGCAUACUGCGGUGAAUACGUUCCCGGGUCUUGUACACACCGCCCGUCACACCAUGGGAGUGGGUUGCUCCAGAAGUAGGUAGCCUAACCGCAAGGGGGGCGCUUACCACGGAGUGAUUCAUGACUGGGGUGAAGUCGUAACAAGGUAGCC
rnacentral:rRNA from 1 species